CACCACCAAUCAGCUUCGACUCAGCAAGGUCACUGUUGAGACUUGACUCGUGAUUGGCUGCUGCGCUUCAGCGUGUUAUUACUGUCUGAUUUGAUCGGAGGCAGGGGGUGGUCUCCAAUCAAACAGAGAAAAGGUCCUAGAGAAGAUCUGGCAACUCUACCACCCUGACCCACAGUGAUAUCUGGAGCUUCGUGUAGGAAGAUGCAGAGGUUCUGUAAACAUGGGGGCCAAGGAGCAAGAAUAUGGUGAUGCAGAAUGAACAGUGAAUUAAAACUCUAUUCACCUGUGCCCUGGAAUGCUUACAAAACAUUUCCCUGGAGGACACUGUAGGAGGAAGUGAGAUGUUAGGUCUGUAGCAGUAGCAGCAGCCAUGUGUGAAAUGGGCUGCAAACAUGAGGGAAAAUUCAAGAGAACUGACAAGAAGUUGGCUCUAAUAUGACUGAGUUGCUGAACCAAUGCUUGAAGCCACCUAACCUCACACAGAGAGGAUAAAAUCGAGGCUCAAAGAGGUGAAGUAAUUGGCUCAGAGUUACACAGA